GAAGGUGUACUGUGAGGUAUGCUGGAGGUAUCAGAAGUGCGAAUGCUGACAUAAGUAACGAUAAAGCGGGUGAAAAGCCCGCUCGCCGGAAGACCAAGGGUUCCUGUCCAACGUUAAUCGGGGCAGGGUGAGUCGACCCCUAAGGCGAGGCCGAAAGGCGUAGUCGAUGGGAAACAGGUUAAUAUUCCUGUACUUGGUGUUACUGCGAAGGGGGGACGGAGAAGGCUAUGUUGGCCGGGCGACGGUUGUCCCGGUUUAAGCGUGUAGGCUGGUUUUCCAGGCAAAUCCGGAAAAU
rnacentral:rRNA from 1 species